AAAAAACAUUUGUGGGGCCCAGCCCCGCAACCAUAUAUAACCGUCCGCCAGGCAGACUACAUUAUCCAAAAUUUCUAUCUUGCGCCAAGGAUAGUAAACUGAUUACAGGAAACAAAUAGUAAACUGAAGUGAAAUGAUGCGUUCCUUAAUCCAUACUGAGAGUUUGGUUUCAAUUGGAAUAUGUAUCGUGGCAAUUAUUUUACAAGUGAAGUAUCAUAUUGUGAAAAGUUUAGAACUCAAAUGAAGCAAAAGUAGCAGUUUCAGCAGAAAUUGUUUUGUUCCGAAGCAAAGAUAUCCACGGGGUGGUUCGCCCUAUUCUGAUAUUCACGACCGAGAAGGAUUGCCACAAUUUUCGAACGAAGGACAAUCAAAUG